GCUUUAUAAUCCUAACCAUUUCACUCCACACUUUAAACAUCUGUUAUCAGCCAUUUCCCCUUUAUUCUUCACCUCUUCUCUAAAUCUUCCCAUCAACUUCCUGUUCCAACUGAAAACUGGUUUACCACCUGACAAAACUACCCUCUUUGCAACUUUUCAAGUGAGGAGCUUAUUUUUUUCUCUCACAGGUAUUCUCAUCUUCCAACCUGCUCCUCAUGUUGCCUCCAAAUCAUUUCUCCUUCCUUCCUCCUUCAAAAACCCAAGCUGUUUUAAAGUUAACACCAAUUGCCACUAUACCAAGAUGCUGUCACCUACUGAUCCCUGAGAUCUACAACGUCCAUUCCACAACAAUGGCUGGAAGAAUCCAUGGGGACUGUAUGUGGCUUCCUGAAAAAAGUGAUAUCCCCACCCUCCACCCCCGUUUUCCCGAAGCAAUGGGAGAUUCGGAACUAAUUCUAGGUUGCGGAAAAAUCUUUUCUGGAAGAAGUAAAAAGGAAAAAUAAAAGAUGAUCUGAAGGGAAAUUUUAUUUUAUUUAUUUUAAAUUUUUUGUGAGGACGAUUGGCCCUGCUUGAGGAAGAUCUGCGCCCAGGAUCUGAAGCUGUGAACCCCAGGCCAGCAAAGUGGAGCACGCAAACUUAACCACUACGCCACCAGGCCAGCCUCGUGUAAACGCUAUUCUUGUCAAAAAACUAAAGAGAAACUCCCUUCAUACCCCAGUCUUCAAGUGAUUUCCAUGGAGCUGAAAUGGUUUGGAGGAGAGAAGCAACUAUAUAGACAAGUUUUUAAAGUUUGGGAUGAUCUCAUUUGGGGAUGAAAAAGACGGCUGUGCACUGAGAAUUUCCCACAGAUUAUCUCUAUUUGGGAAAAAAUAUAAGCUGAUAUUGUCUUUAUUUUAGGUUACUGAAAGAUGAGCCACAUCUAAAUAUAUUCUAUUCAUUCAAUUCAACAACUAUUUAUUGAGCACACGCUAUGUGCAGGAUACUGUUCUCAUCACUAGAGAUGGAACAGUGAACAAAACUGACAAAAAUUCCUACCCUGUGGAACUUACGGUCCAGCCGGAGGUGAGGUAAUAAACAAUAAACAUCAUAGUGACUAGUUCUUGUGGUAUGUUAGAAGAUGGUAAGUGCUAUGGGAAAAAAUAAAGCAGAGAAAGGAGAGGAUCAGAGGUAAAAGGGUUGGAGGGUUGGUUACAUUAUUAAGGGUGUUCAGGGAAGACCUCAUUUGAUUUUUGUUUUGUUUUGUUUUCUUUUGUGUGUGUGUGUGUGUUUUUUGCAAGGAAGAUUGGCCCUGAGCUAACAUCUAUUGCCAAUCUUCCUCUUUUUGCUUGAGAAAGAUUGUCAGUGAGCUAACAUCUAUGCCAAUCUUCCUCUAUUUUGUAUGUGGGAUGCCGCCACAGCAAGGCUUGAUGAGUGGUGUGUAGGUCUGUGCCUGGCAUCUGAACCUGGAAACCCCAGACCACUGAAGCAGAGCAUGCAAACUUAACCACUACAUGGCCAGGCCAGCCCCAGACCUCAUUUGAAAGGUAUCAUUUGAGCAAAGACUUCAAGAAGGUUUCUUUGGGUCAGGAGCAACUUAGCUGAGCAGUGCUGGCUUGAGAUCUCUCAUGAAGGGUCAGUCAAGAUGUCAGGUGGAGCUGCAGUCCUCUGAAAGUUCAACGGAGGCUGAGAUCCCCUUUCAAGGUGGCUCACUCACAUGGCUGAUGCCUCAGUUCUCUUCAGGCUCCGUUCCCCAAGGCUGCUUGAGUAUCCUCAUAACUUGGUGGCUGGCUUACCCCAGAAUGAAUGAUUCAAGAAGGAGAGCACCAAGUGGAAGCUACGUCCUGGAAAGUAUGGUAGCAUCUUUUCCACCAUCUGUUGGUUAUCUGUGAGUCACAGUGGAGGAAGAGAACUUCUCUUUCCCAAUAGUUUCAACCACAGUUCUAGAAUUGUUUCCCAGUAGCUUUGCCUGGGUCAUCAUCACUCUGGCCAAACAUGAGUCUUGUGCUAGUCCUUGGAGCUGAGAGAUGAGGUCAGUUCCAUCUGAAACACAUGGACUGAAAGUGGGAGAGAGAGAGUUCCCCAAAGGGAAAUCAGGGUAUUGUUACCAGAAGAAGAAGGAAUAGAUACCAGACAAGCAAAAAUAAAAGAUGUCCACUAUAGUGCCUCUGCGUUAUUGGAAAUUGUUAUGGAAAGUGUGCAUUCCUUUUAUGAAAAAACUUACAUUAAAGACAAAAAAGUUUAAAGAUAUUAACUGUCAUCUCUGCAAAGUGCAAUUACAGUAAAAUUUCUCCCAGUUUUCUAUUUAUUCCAAAUUUCCUUUCAUGGGUAGGUAUUACAUUUUUUUUCCCGCUUUUUCUCCCCAAAUCCCCCCCAAUACAUAGUUGUAUAUUUUAGUUGUAGGUCCUUCUAGUUGUGGCAUGUGGGAUGCCACCUCAACAUGGCUUGAUGAGUGGUGCCAUGUCUGCCCCUAGGAUCCAAACCAGUGAAACCCUGGGCCAACGAAGUGGAG
ensembl:lncRNA